AUUGAACGCUGGCGGCAGGCCUAACACAUGCAAGUCGAACGAGUGGCGGACGGGUGAGUAAUGUAUGGGAAACUGACUGAUGGAGGGGGAUAACUACUGGAAACGGUAGCUAAUACCGCAUACCAUCGGAUGUUCCCAGAUGGGAUUAGCUGGUAGGUGGGGUAAAGGCUCACCUAGGCGACGAUCCCUAGCUGGUCUGAGAGGAUGACCCGCGCCACUGGAACUGAGACACGGUCCAUACUCCUACGGGAGGCAUCAGUGGGGAAUAUUGCCCAAUGGGCGCAAGCCUGAUGCAGCCAUGCCGCGUGUAUGAAGAAGGCCUUCGGGUUUUAAAGUACUUUCAGCGGGGAGGCGUUACCCGCAGAAGAAGCACCGGCUAACUCCGUGCCAGCAGCCGCGGUAAUAC
rnacentral:rRNA from 1 species